GUUUUAAGUUUCAGCUAAAAUCGUUUCCAAGAAAAGAGUUUCUAAAAUGAGACUAAGGAAAAAUGGUUUUGCCCAUGUGUUUCCAUAACAACAGUGUUUGUUGAGAAGUUCUAGCACUUCUAAGCUUGGGAACAGGAACUUAUAAUUGACCUUGUGGUUUGCCCUUGUGUCAGGGAUGUGCCUUUUGCUCUCACCAUGAAAAUUUGACCAAGAUCAAAGACUCCAAAUAAUCUUUCUCAUGCUCAUUGGAGACUUGUUCGGAGAAUUUCUCUGUCAAACUAGAGUCCACCUGCAGUGUGCAAGCUCCAGGGGCAGCCUUAAUUCUGCUACUUCCAAAAUUCUGAGCAGGUGACUUAGCAGCCGUGCUGCUCUCUUAAGGUAGUUUGUGUCUCAUCUAUAAUUAAAGUGAGGAACUGCCAUGGGAAGCCCACUAGCAGCUGGUAUCGUGUGCGUCAUGUGCUCAGCUACGUAAGCUACAGUGAACAAUCUCCCCAGGACAACAGGCCUGGUGCUGCUUCAUGGCAUUGAUGUCUGGAAUGAAUUUCAUUUCCUGUGGGGGCUGUAUACUGAAACAUCGUCUCAGCUCCACUGGCUCUCACAGGCCCAGGCAGGAAGUCCUACCACUACGCCUGUCUGGAUCAAGAGCUCCAUGCGAGUCUCCUGAGUGCCUGCUGCCUUCUUGCUGCAUCUCAUUGGUUCAAGUUACCCGGUGUGGUGAGAGUUGCGAUGCGGUUGCCCGCCAUUGCUACACAUGGCCAGCAGGGGGAGCCCACCCCCUAGCACCGGUGCUCGGUGCACCUGGGAGAGUUGAUUCAACUUGACUCCUGGCUACUGGGGCUUCAGUGAAACUAGGUGAGUGCAGACUCCAGCUCCUGGGGGUCGUGUGUCCCUCUGUGUGUGCCGCACCAUGCCUGGGGGGCCCUGAUCUUGCCUGGAGCUGCUGGGUGUUACUGCACUCGGAGUAGCCCAUCACCUUCAGCCCCGCACCCUACACACUUUGGUAGCUAUAAUUUGCUGCAGCGCUAACUGGCUCAGCACACACCCUGCCACUGGGUGGGGGGUUGGGGGGCAGGUGGCCAGGCAACCUGAUUUUUCCAACCCCC
rnacentral:lncRNA from 1 species